rnacentral:piRNA from 1 species
UGAUCAAUGAUUUCAUGGUGAAGGUCCCAGC